rnacentral:rRNA from 1 species
GAUGAACGCUAGCGGCAGGCCUAAUACAUGCAAGUCGUACGGCAACACAGUUGCGAGCAAUCGCAACCGGUGGCGAGUGGCGCACGGGUGAGUAACGCGUAUGUAACCUACCCUUCUCCGGGACAUAACUCCGCGAAAGCGGUGCUAAUAUCCCAUACCAACUCAUCAAGACAUCUUCUUGAGUUGAAAGCAGCAAUGCGGUGAAGGAUGGGCAUGCGUCCCAUUAGCUGGUUGGUGAGGUAAUGGCCCACCAAGGCUACGAUGGGUAGGGGUUCUGAGAGGAAAGCCCCCCACACUGGUACUGAGACACGGACCAGACUCCUACGGGAGGCAGCAGUAAGGAAUAUUGGGCAAUGGUCGAAAGACUGACCCAGCCAUGCCGCGUGCAGGACGAAGGCCCUAUGGGUUGUAAACUGCUUUUAGCCGGGAAUAAACACCCGUUUUAUAACGGGCCCGAAGGUACCGGCUGAAUAAGCAUCGGCUAACUCCGUG